AUGGCGGAGAAGCAAGCCCACCUCAAUGGCGCCUACUAUGGCCCCGCCGUGCCCCCAAGCAGCACUCCUACCUCCGCCCUAGCCGCAGUGGGGGCUGUGGCUGUGGCUGUGGCUUCUGCCUUCUCAAGCUCAUCUUCAACAUCGUCCUCACCGUGGUCAUCACCAUCGGCCUCCUCACCCUCCUCUUCUGGCUCAUCUUCCCCCAACCUCGUCAAGUUCCACGUCACCAACACCGAGCUCACCCAGUUUAACUUCACUGCCACCCUCAGUUACACCCUCAGCUCAACCUCACCAUCCGGAACCCGAACUGCCACAUUGGGAUCUACUACGACCGGAUCGAGGUGCAGGCAUUAGAUGGGGGCCAGCGCUUGGCCUCCGAUUACCUGACCCCGUUCUAUCAGGGCCACAAGAACACAACGACGCUCAGCGCAGCAUUCCAGGGCCAGCAGCUGGUGGUGCUUGGCACGAGCGAGCAAUCCGAUUUCAACUCUGAGAAGGCGACUGGUGUCUACGAUAUCGAUAUGAAGCUGUACCUGAGGGUGCGGUUCAAGCUUGGCAAGAUCAAGACGUUCGCAUCAAGCCGAGGGUCAAGUGCGGGUUGAA